rnacentral:rRNA from 1 species
UACGUAGGGUGCGAGCGUUAAUCGGAAUUACUGGGCGUAAAGGGCUCGUAGGCGGCCAACUAAGUCGGAUGUGAAAUCCCCAGGCUCAACUUGGGAACUGCAUCCGAUACUGGAUGGCUUGAAUCCGGGAGAGGGAUGCAGAAUUCCAGGUGUAGCGGUGAAAUGCGUAGAUAUCUGGAGGAAUACCGGUGGCGAAGGCGGCAUCCUGGACCGGCAUUGACGCUGAUGAGCGAAAGCUAGGGGAGCAAACGGG